UACAGAGGGUGCAAGCGUUGUUCGGAAUCAUUGGGCGUAAAGGGCGUGUAGGCGGUUUGUUAAGUCAUGUGUGAAAUCCCUCGGCUCAACCGGGGAACGACGCUUGAAACUGGCAAGCUAGAGUACCAAAGAGGGCGGUGGAAUUCCCGGUGUAGCGGUGAAAUGCGUAGAGAUGUGGAGGAACACCAGUGGCGAAGGCGGCUUUCUGGUCUGUAACUGACGCUGAGGCGCGAAAGCGUGGGGAGCAAACAGG
rnacentral:rRNA from 1 species